AGUUUCAGGUUAAGAACAGACCUCCAGAACGAAUUACCUUCUUAACCCGAGGUACCACAGUAUAAGGCAAUUAAAACCAGUUAAAAACAGACGAAGGUAACAAAUAGGUUUAUAACAAGACUAAAAUCCCUAGCAAAGAAGACACUUGUGGUAAACACUCCAUUAUCCAGCUGGGAAAACCUGUUGGAAUAAAAAUGUCUUCCACGGUUCCCCAAAGUGCAGAUUGACAGGGAUGCUAUUCCACAGAACAGGGGCAGCCACACUACAGGCCCUGCUCUGAGCUUAAGUACAGUGGGCUUCUGAGAUCUUUGGAACUUGCAGUAUUUUUUCCUCCAGACGGCAGCAAUGUGCUGGGUACAGAAGGGAUAAGGCGGUCUCUUAAGUUGUGGUACAUGGAAACCGCAAGGAAGCUACCAGCAUUUCUAUUCUCUGGCAAUGCUCUUGUGCUACUAACAGCCUCACACAGGGUGGGUUCAACAGGUGCAGCUCCCCAGCCAGAUCACUGGGCAAUCAGAUGUAAAAGUGACUGUGGGUUCCCUGUUGCAGUUAUGCAGAAGGGGCAGACCGGAACCAGCACAGCUUGCGGAAGGGCAGUGCUUGGCAUGUGACCUAUGGGUCUCCGGCACACUCCGACUGAGUGUGCAGCACCGGCAUUAAAUGUUAUCUUAUGAUGCCUCCUGUUUCCCUGCUCACUGCAGUCAAUACCAAGCUAUUUCUUUUUAUUGAUUUAUUAAAUUUGUCAGUCGCUUUAUCUUGCCCAGGACAACCCAAAGCAACUUAAACACUGAUUGAAAUGGGAGCUGCAAGGACCAAUGGCCUGAUUCAGAAAAAGGGCAGCUUCCUCUCUUCCUCAAGGUUAACCGCAGCCAUCAAAUAUAUAAAAAAGCAAAACGUAAAAGUCAACAGCAAUCGAACCCUCAAAACAAAACUGAUCCAACUAAAAGGGGAAGGGAGUAAACAGCUCAGAGGCAGGACAGCUGUUCUGCAUGCAGAAGGUCCCAGGUAGGGCUGGGAGAGGGUGUUCCCUGCCUGAGACCCCGGAAUGCAUCAAACUAAGCUCUACUCAUAACAGAUCCACUCAAAUGAAUGAACCUAGAUUAGUCAUGUCUGUUCACUUUAGUGGAUCUGCCUUGAGCAAGACUAGAAAUGGCACCAUGGGAGAGCUGCUGCCAGUCAGUGUAGGCAAGCCUAAGGUAGCUGGAGAGACUUGGUAUAAGGCAGCUUCCUUUGUUCCUUUGCAACUUGUCCCCAAGGAACUAGAAACAAAAUUAAACAAACUUGUAAAAAAAAUCCCCUCUUCUGCACAACGGCUAAAA